AGGGCUAUGGUUCCCUCAUCAACAUUGAUUAUUACUUUGGCCGUCUUCAGGAACGGCCUUCCAAGAAUGAUAGGAAUCUUUGCAUUGUCUUCCAUCUCUAGGAUUACAAAGUCUACCAGGAACAUCAGGUUGUCAACUUGCAACUUUACAUUUUCUAGUAUACCAUAGGGGUUUUUGGGGGAUCCAUCUGCCAUGAGGAGAGACAUCUUUACUGGCUUUACUUCUAAUUCCCCCAUCUUUUUAAGAAAAGCUAGGGGCAUUAAGUUGAUGUUGGAACCUAAAUCAAUCAAGGCUUUCCUAAUUUUAUGCUCCCCAAUGUUGCAAGGAAUGGUAAAACUUCCUAGGUCUCCUUCUUUUGGGGGAAGAGUCUUCUGUAAUAUCACGCU
rnacentral:lncRNA from 1 species